CCCUUUGAUACUCUGGGCGGUACGCGCGCUACACUGGUUUAUAUAACGUGUAAUUUGGACGAUAGUCUGUAUAAAUCACUAAUAUAAAACCGUGGAUGGGAUAGUUUAUUGCAACUUACAAACUUUAACUAGGAAUCCCUUGUAGAAGUAGUGAAUUAUACUGCUUCGAAUACGUCCCUGCCGAUUGUACACACCGCCCGUCGUUUCUUCCGACUGGUACUCAUUGUGAAUUGCGAGGAGAUUCUGUCAAAUCGUUGUAAAUGCUGGGUAUUGGAGGAAGAAAAAGUCGUAACA
rnacentral:rRNA from 1 species